GACGUAGGGCGUGAGCGUUGUCCGGAUUUAUUGGGCGUAAAGGGCUCGUAGGCGGCCAACUAAGUCGGACGUGAAAUCCCUCGGCUUAACCGGGGAACUGCGUCCGAUACUGGAUGGCUUGAGUUUGGGAGAGGGAUGCGGAAUUCCAGGUGUAGCGGUGAAAUGCGUAGAUAUCUGGAGGAACACCGGUGGCGAAGGCGGCAUCCUGGACCAAUACUGACGCUGAGGAGCGAAAGCCAGGGGAGCAAACGGG
rnacentral:rRNA from 1 species